UACGUAGGGGUCGAGCGUUGUCCGGACUUACUGGGCGUAAAGCGUGGGUAGGUGGGUGCUGAUGUGCCGUGUGAAAGCGCCGCGCUUCUCGCGGCGAGGUCGCGGUAGACACAGCACCUAGAGGCACGGAGAGGGGCGUAGAAUUCCCGGUGUAGUGGUGAAAUGCGUAGAUAUCGGGAGGAACACCUAUGCGAAGGCAGCUCGCUGGACGUACUGACGCUGGAGACGCGAAACGUGGGAGCAACA
rnacentral:rRNA from 1 species